rnacentral:rRNA from 1 species
GAUGAACGCUGGCGGCGUGCCUAAUACAUGCAAGUAGAACGCUGAAGGAAGGAGCUUGCUCUUUCCGGAUGAGUUGCGAACGGGUGAGUAACGCGUAGGUAACCUGCCUGGUAGCGGGGGAUAACUAUUGGAAACGAUAGCUAAUACCGCAUAACAGUAGAUGUUGCAUGAUAUCUACUUAAAAGGUGCAAUUGCACCACUACCAGAUGGACCUGCGUUGUAUUAGCUAGUUGGUGAGGUAACGGCUCACCAAGGCGACGAUACAUAGCCGACCUGAGAGGGUGAUCGGCCACACUGGGACGGAGACACGGCCCAGACUCCUACGGGAGGCAGCAGUAGGGAAUCUUCGGCAAUGGACGGAAGUCUGACCGAGCAACGCCGCGUGAGUGAAGAAGGUUGUCGGAUCGUAAAGCUCUGUUGUAAGAGAAGAACGAGUGUGAGAGUGGAAAGUUCACACUGUGACGGUAUCUUACCAGAAAGGGACGGCUAACUACGUG